AGAAGGGGAAGGGAAGAAUAAAUCAACAGCAAAUAAUAUUAAAAGCAGGCUCUUGGCUGGCGGUCUGGAGUUGCCAUACAAUUGUUAUUUGAAGGACUUUAUGGGAAGGCACCUCCAAAUCAUGAAGCUCAUUGAAAAGUUGCUUUAUUGUAAAUCCAGCCUGUGCCUCUUGAAGUUUGGGCUGGCACAUGGGGUUUUCAGAGGAAUGGUGUUCUUUCUUUCCACUCUCUUGUGAGACACUUGAGUUCCUCCAGUGCUCCAGGAGCAGCCAGCUGUGCCUUGGGAAUGUCUGUGUGUGCAGGAGCUUCAUGGCCUUAUUUGGGAAGCUGCUUCCCAGGCACAGGUCAGCACUCUAAUGGCACUUGCAUCCUUCUUGUUGAGCAAUAUUGAUCUCCUUCUAGGAACUGCACUCUUAGCCAAUCUGCCCAUGAAAUGUAGAGCCCAGGCUUUGUGAGAGUGCUCCACAAACCCUACAGAGGCAAUGAUGGUCUCUCCAAACUGUGGGUCUAACUUUGCUGUCAAGGUUUGGUGCAAUGAGGAGGCUUUGGCAUCACUGAGCCUUCCAAGAGCCAGUCAAGUUUUCAGGGAGAUACACAAAGUACCUGUUCAUCCUGAUACCAGAAUGUUCCCACCAGCUAAGUAGGUUUUGUUGGACGCAUAAUACUGGUUUUGGGUUUCAGGCUGAUUGAAUGCAGCUUUUGUGGCUAAGGAUCAAUCUGCUAAUUAUGAAAUACAAUGCUAGGAUCUUUCUGCAGUCUCAUUGUGAGGAGAUGUAAUUUGUAAUGGCCACGUUCAUCUUACAGUCACCAUAAGGAAGUAAUGGGUCGUGGAUCUCUACACUUGGGGCAUUUUCCUUUGGGGUGUUGAAGGCUGCAGGGUAGCACCACGCAGCAAGGAUCCAGCAGCCAGAGGAGCUUUGAGACAGUACUGAGCUGGGAAUGAAUUCGAGAGCUUUGAAGACCUGGAUUAGAAUCAAACCAAACUCAACAGAGUGAUGGAAUGGCCUGAAAGAAACAUGAUGCAGUUCAAUGAGGAGAAAUGCAGAGAACUGCACUUAGGUGAGAACAGUCGAUUGCAAGAAAAUGGAAGGAGAAGGUCCAGGCUGUGUCCUGCAGAAAGACAUGGUGACCAGCAAGAGCCACCUGAGGGUUGAGGCUGAGAUCUUGUACCUCUCACACCACGAAGCCAUGCAGGAAACUUCUAGUGGUACUUAUUGCCAGGUUUAAGUGCUCCUGCAUUUAGGUUCUUCAUUUUGGCCAGCCAAGAAUCUUCACCUGCAGUUGGUUUCUCACUCUUGUGGUGCUCACUGGUUGCUGCCCAGAGUGCAGCAUCACAGCUCGUCUCGGGUCCGUAGCACAAGUUUGCUGGUGCUCAAAAGGCAAUGUAUGGGGAGGUAGUUCCUUCUCUGGAGAUAGUUCUUCAGCUUUUUGCAGGUGGUGGGGCUCAAGAUUUCCCUUGUCAGGUGCUUGUUAAAUGUCCAAGACUUGCAGAUGGCUCUUCAGAAAGCAUGGCAGGAGAAAGGAAAUGGACAGAAUAGCUUUGGGGCUUUCCCUUUGGAAUUCUGGGGUAGUAUCUCUGUGGUUUUGUUGUGUAACUUCAUUGUGGUUUGUCUUCUGUGAGUUUCUGUUUAGAAGAUGAAUUAAACUAAAUGCGUGUUUUAAAACUCGCUCUGUGCAUUGAUACUUCCAGCUUUUAACCAGUCCUUUUGAUACAGAUUGCAUCCAAAGCGAGCUAGCCAGCAGCAUCCACUUUGUCUGCUGUAGUGACCAUCCAAGGAUUUUAUGGAUUCAACUCAGAACCCUGCACUCUUUUAAAUUAAUUUUUGUUAACCUUGUCCCAUUUCUGCAUGUGGACAAAGCCUCAUUUGUAUGCACAGCAGGGCCUAACAACCAGACUGGCUUUAGUCAAGACCCUGCUUUAUUACGUGAUGUUCUUUAUGCCUUUGCCUUUUUCUCUCAUCUCCAUUAUGUCUUUUGUCAGUAACUGGUUUCAAGUAUCAUAUUUUCCCCUUGUCUUUCUGCACUCGGUUGUUGGCACCCUCUGACAUUGCCCAGCAUGGGGCCAUUUCUCUAACAAACCUGGCUUCUGUCCCACUGGACCGUGGUGUUUAUUCCCUGCUUUGGUGAUGGGUUCUCCUGGAGGAGGAGACUCCAGCGCAGAUUGCCCUGACCCGAGGUGUGGAGAUGGCAGCUUUCUCUGUGCAGGUGAGGGUGAUGGUGUCUGCUCUGUUCUUGCCUUCACCUGUGGCAGUCUCAGGGAAGGAAUAUCAUUAUCAAGUCAUCAUAGCAGCCCAUUUACCACGACCUGAUUUCUGAACACUCACCGCUUCCUGCCAGAAUAGAAGCUCGUUGCCUCGAGUUACCUUGGGAGAGCAAACAACACUGAGCUUGUUCCCAACCUCCAAUUGUCCUAGCUUUGCUGUUUCGUGCCCUGUGUCCCUUCUGGGGCUCCCGUUCUUCCUUGUGUGCCAUCCAUCGGUGCAGCAGCUUCCUGCAUCUGCUGAGAGCUCCAUUUAUCUCCGAACUCCCAAGCGAUGAAUCUCAUCUCGUUAUAAAGCCCCACCAAACCCAAACAGACGACGUGCUUUCUCCUGCCUCUGGGAAUUCUUGCUUGAACAUGGGACCCCUUCAUUUGGGAAGAGGCCAGGCGGGAUGGCAGCUUCCUGGUGAUGAAUCCUGUGUUUGUAGUGUGCCUGGCUGCUGCACACUGCCCCGGAAGAGGCGGUGGAUGUUUGUGGAAGCGAUGGCCAAGCGACUGUGAGACCCGGGCUGCUGGAACAGUGGGUGUAUUAUAGCUGAAAAAGGCAAUUUCUCUGCCAAAUCUCAUUGUGCAAGAGGGGUUAUUCUUUAGCCUUGCAAAGAUUUCGCUUUGUUGGUUCUUUUUUCACUUGCUCUCUGAGACUUGGGAAAGAGGCUGCGGGACUGCAAUGGAAAAUGAGCGUUCAGCUCAUCUGACUUGUGUUACCAGGACAGAGCUCUGCUGCGCUCAGACGUCCAGCCUGCGUGAAAGCAACCGGCUGGCAUCCUGCUCCUGUUUAAUGUCUUGAUUUUCCCUCUCUUCCCUAUGCUUUGAACACUUUCUGACAUAUAAUUUAGCUUAGUAGUGUAGCAGAGUUGGGAAGCAAACAUGGGGCUUGCUUUGGGUGUGAUGCUAAAGAAGGUAUUUCCUGCGGAAGAAAAGGAACAUCUGUGUGGAGAGGAACGUUCUCGUGACAGCAGUGGGUUGAGGGUGCAGAGUUUUCUCAGAACAUUACUAUGAAGCAAUUCAUAGAGGUUUGGUAAAGGCCACAUAGACCCCCUGAAAUAAAAUACCUUUCCAUGUGGAGCUGCUUUUCCCAGCUGCCAGGAACACCUCCCUUCCUGUUCUUGGAAAACAAGGGCCUGGCUAAAAGGCUGAGCUAACCGGGCUGACGUCCUCCAGCAAAAGUUAAGAGGCGUUGUGGUUAAAGUGCUGCAGGAUAUUGUAUCAUCAGGGGCUGUAACUCCUUGCCUGGCUGAAAUAGCCUUCCAGCUACAGGAAGAAGCUAUCCAGAGGCUGAAGAAGCUGUCCAGAGGCUGUAUUGGAGGUGGCAGGAGAAUGUUCCUCGGGGCUGUGGAGCACAGAAGACCCGAAAAGUGUGUAAACCCAUCUCCCAUUUGUGUUUACUUCUAAUUGAUAUCAGAAUUGUGAAGAAUUGUAGAUGGGGCUGUUGCUUAUGGUUUAUCAACCACUGCAUGGAAGCCAGUGAAGCAGGUGGUACCUUUAGCUGAUAACAGAAGAUAGCCAAAUACUUGAGGAUGGGGAGGAAGAGGAGGAUAGGGAGGACAGAAGGCCCCUCCUAUGGUCCUGAGGGCCCUACCAGCACGCUGGCCUGGAUGUGUGCUGCCUUUGCGUCUUCAUUUUGACCUAUUGCAGCAAACUUAGUGUGUCAUCUCGCUUGAAAGAGCUGUCUGCUGGUCCCAUAGUUCUCCCUUUCCCUUCCCACAGCAUUCCAGCCGCGCUGUUUUCCCUGUGUGCCAGCUCUGGCUCUGUCUUGCCUGCAUAAAUACAUUGCCCCAGGGCUGAAGCUGUUGCUCUGUUGGUGCAGUGUUGCCUUGCUGAGGCCCUGGGGUGCUGCUGUAAUAAGUAUGAUUAUGGAUGACAGACUAGGGAGAGACUGCUGGGUUCAUCUGCCUGGGAGAUGGCAGCUCGCAGCCCUGGUCCAAGCCAGGGAGCUGCAGAGCUCCUCUCUUGCCAGGUAUAAAACCUAGGGCUGGUCACGGCAGGGUUCUCCUUUGGAAGGAAGCAGGGGUCUCAUUCCUUGAAUCAAAGAUGUGAAGAUCUUCUGGCUGCACUGCGGUCAAAUCUUAAAUGCAUCAGAGGAGUUCUGGAGGCUGCCCUAGAUCUGGGAACAGGCAGCUCUGCGAUGGACCAUCACAGCUUCAGGCACUGUAGGACUGCACGAGCCUGAAAUAAGAGAUGUUUUUGGGGAGCUCCAAGGUUCUUCCAUCCCCCAACACUGACCUGCUAGCUUUUUGGUGUGUUUAAGGAUGGUUUCCAGUGGGGGGUGAGGGAAAGGAGAUGGAUUUCCUACAUGGCUUUUCAUAACAGAGCUGGUGCAUCACGGUUAGUAAUCCUGAAGCAUGAACUGUCUUUGCUGAAAGUGCUUAAA